rnacentral:snRNA from 1 species
UUGCUUUGGCAGCACAUAUACUAAAAUUAGAAUGAUACAGAGAAGAUUAGCAUGGCCCCUACACAAGGAUGACAUGCAAAUUUGUGAAGUAUUCCGUUUUUUU